GAUGAGGAACGCAGCGAAAUGCGAUACUUGGUGUGAAUUGCAGAAUCCCGUGAACCAUCGAGUCUUUGAACGCAAGUUGCGCCCGAAGCCAUUAGGCCGAGGGCACGCCUGCCUGGGUGUCACACGUCGUUGCCCCCCCAUCUACUCCUUCGGGAUUGCGGGGGGCGGAUGAUGGCCUCCCGUGCGCCUCGUCGCGCGGUUGGCAUAAAUGCCAAGUCCUCGGCGACGCACGCCACGACAAUCGGUGGUUGCGAAACCUCGGUUGCCCGUCGUGUGCGGUCGUCGCGCAUCGAGGGCUCGAAAAAAUUGCCGGGCUCCGGCUCGGCUUUCAACGCGACCCCAGGUCAGGCGGGGUUACCCGCUGAAUUUAAGCAUAUCAAUAAGCGGAGGA
rnacentral:misc_RNA from 1 species